GUCACGCAGCCACAGAUCACAGUAAACCCAAGGCUGUGGUCUGUGGCUGCGUGACCUUGACGUACAGAACACUACAGGAGUUUUGCGUGUGUCAGUGUUGCCAGCCAAGACCACCAGUGUUACCAGAUGAAAGGGAGAUGCCUAGAGAGACGCUAAGUGGAUGAAAAGUCUCCUCCACCUUCUCCCCCAUUGCUCCAUCCACACUCGCCCUGCCACGACCCUCCACCGACCACCAGGAGGGAACAUGAGUCGUCCAGGUCGUCUUAACAAGGCGCUGAGUUGACGUGAGUGGGCAGAGGAAGAAGAAGUAGAAGAAGAGGAAGAGGAAGAAGAGGAAGAGGAGGAGAGGGAAGGAAGAUCUGAGCUGCGGAUAAGUCGGGUUUGCCAGUACUCGUACUUCCCCGUCAGUGUGGGUGGACAGCAGUACCUCCCGUCAGUGUGUGGCUGGAUGGCGUUACCCCUUCGUCGCUUCCUCUCCACGACUACUUUCUCCUGAG